CCAAGGGAGAGGACUCAUGGAAGGAAGAUGAAGCUGGUGGCUCCGGGCAACAUGGGGCAUAGGCUCGGGGCUCGACUUUGAUUGUUGUAACAUUUGGAGCCAUUAAAUAAAACAUUUGAUGUUUGUAAUAUUUGGUGGUUGUAAACUCUUGGUGUAAAUGAUGGUUGUUCGACCUUAACUGUUUAAACAUAGUUAUUAACUAUUGUGCUCGUCAUCUUUUCGUGCUUUUUGUUCAUGUGUUGUUCCUUAUGAAUCCUUUUGCUUCGAGGUUGGUUCUAUGUUUGGUUGUUGUGCUUGGUUGGCUUUGAGCCCCUUGGCCCUUUGAUCCGUGAGGUUUCGAGGCUCGAGUCUUGGUUAUGUGAUAAAAACUCUUUUCUGAUUUGUAACAAAACUCAUAUCAGAAAGCAAUAAACACCAUUUUUCUUUUGAAAAAACGUCAACCCCCCCUCCCCCACAAUACCUUUGUGCGAGGGUUUUGUUUUAGGUUACUAAAGAUUUAUUAUGCUUGUUCGAUCGUUUGUUAGACCUUUGCUAUCUGAUUCGCCUCCUUAUUGUAUUUUUCACGCAAAGGGAUGCAGGGCCUUUUUGGUAAAGAAAAUGUCAAACCCCCCUCCCCCCUUAUUCCUUUGCG
rnacentral:lncRNA from 1 species